rnacentral:rRNA from 1 species
UACAGAGGUCUCAAGCGUUGUUCGGAUUCAUUGGGCGUAAAGGGUGCGUAGGCGGCGCGGUAAGUCGGGUGUGAAAUCUCGGGGCUUAACUCCGAAACUGCAUUCGAUACUGCCGUGCUUGAGGACUGGAGAGGAGACUGGAAUUUACGGUGUAGCGGUGAAAUGCGUAGAUAUCGUAUGGAAGACCAGUGGCGAAGGCGGGUCUCUGGACAGUUCCUGACGCUGAGGCACGAAGGCCAGGGGAGCAAACGGG